CUACGUGCCAGCAGCCGCGGUAAUACAGGGGGUGCAAGCGUUAAUCGGAAUUACUGGGCGUAAAGCGAGCGUAGGUGGUCAUUUAAGUCAGAUGUGAAAUCCCCGGGCUUAACCUGGGAACUGCAUCUGAUACUGGGUGACUAGAGUAGGUGAGAGGGAAGUAGAAUUCCAGGUGUAGCGGUGAAAUGCGUAGAGAUCUGGAGGAAUACCGAUGGCGAAGGCAGCUUCCUGGCAUCAUACUGACACUGAGGUUCGAAAGCGUGGGUAGCAAACAGGAUUAGAUACCCUGGUAGUCCACGCUGUAAACGAUGUCGAUUUGGGGGUUGAACUUUAAGUUUGGCGCCCGUAGCUAACGUGAUAAAUCGACCGCCUGGGGAGUACGGCCGCAAGGUUAAAACUCAAAUGAAUUGACGGGGGCCCGCACAAGCGGUGGAGCAUGUGGUUUAAUUCGAUGCAACGCGAAGAACCUUACCUACUCUUGACAUCCAGAGAACAUUC
rnacentral:rRNA from 1 species